AUUGUCUCUUUUGAAUUGUAUAAGCUUGUUUUGCUUUUAGUAUGUUAUUUAAUUUCUUUUAAAAAUUUUAUAUACCGAUUUUUUUUAGCUUUUAAAUAUUGUCUCUUUUAAUGAUGGAAGGCACAUUGUCUCCUCUUUAAGGAGAAAGUUGGGGUAUACAUAUUUUAAAUAAAUAAAAUAAAAAAUGUUAUGACCUUCUAUUAGCACAACUCUAGGGAAAUUAACUAAGAAGUAAGAACAGGCCCCACCUCACCAUCAGGCAGAGUGAAAAAGCAGCAGAUCCCGGAUGUUAUGAAAGGCCAACAACAUUGUUCUAUGAAAUUAAUCAUCACUACUUAUCCCAUGGAGAGGAAAGGUCUUCAAGAUGGCUGACUAAUGAGAGGGACAGGACACCCAAGCAGCAACCGAAUGGCCUCCUCAAAGGGAGCAGCAGUUGCAAAAUUCCAGAGCAUGUGAACCAAGAUAUGAGACAGACAGAGAGACGGAGUGAGUACCAGCCUGGUGUAACAGACAACACAGCCUUACCUGACACAGUCCCAAGAGGAAUGCUGGAGUACAAGUUCCACUUCUGUGGAGUUUUUGUGAGUUUGCACACAGCAGAUUAAGCAUGAAUUGAAACACACACACAUGCUGGGUUGUGUAAUAUUUGCAUAUAUUAGCAUGCUGGACAAGGGGGGAGGGCAGGUUUAAAACUUUCUUCUUUCACCCUCGAAAUGUAUUCAUUGACCUUCAUCCAAAAACUGUAUCUACCUCUUAGGGUUGUUGUGAAGGGUAGCAGUGUAUAACCACCAUGGUUAGUAACCACUGACAGCACUGUUGUGCCGGUUUCUCCAGUCUCUGUUCACACCCAUCUGAACUGAUGUCUGCCGCCACAUCCUGUCAUGGUGCAUUCUGUCAUUUUACUGUGCUUUACUGUAUAGAUAAAUACUAUGUAUCCUGAAUCCUCCACCAUUCAACUUCACUGGAUGGCAGCAGGUUCUACCACGAUGACGUGGAGAUAAAGUGUUUGUCUGAAGGUCAAUGAGUCUUUCUCAGAAUUCCAUCAUUAUUUUAAUCUCAUCCCAAUUAAAGAUCAGGUUGUACAAUUUUAUCUCUCCUUUGAGCACAAAAAUAUGUACACUUGC
rnacentral:lncRNA from 1 species